GACGAACGCUGGCGGCGUGCUUAACACAUGCAAGUCGAGCGGUAAGGCCUCUUCGGGGGUACACGAGCGGCGAACGGGUGAGUAACACGUGGGUGACCUGCCCUCAGCUCUGGGAUAAGCCUGGGAAACUGGGUCUAAUACCGGAUAUGACCACAUGUUGCAUGGUGUGUGGUGGAAAGUUUUUUCGGCUGGGGAUGGGCCCGCGGCCUAUCAGCUUGUUGGUGGGGUGAUGGCCUACCAAGGCGACGACGGGUAGCCGGCCUGAGAGGGCGACCGGCCACACUGGGACUGAGACACGGCCCAGACUCCUACGGGAGGCAGCAGUGGGGAAUAGUGCGCAAUGGGCGGAAGCCUGACGCAGCGACGCCGCGUGGGGGAUGACGGCCUUCGGGUUGUAAACCUCUUUCGACCGGGACGAAGCGUAAGUGACGGUACCGGUAGAAGAAGCACCGGCCAACUACGUG
rnacentral:rRNA from 1 species